AAGAUAUUUUCAGGGCAUUUUCUCACCAUUUUUUAUACCUUUCCCAAGCUUCAUAGAAAGAUUCUCCAUCUUUCUAAGUGAAAGUUUGGAUAUCAUGUCUCAACUU